UCUCCUAGCGCUUUGCGCCGGCUUUCCAGCCUGCCGCUCAUUCGUGGCUCUGCCAUUGCCUCUCUCGGUUCUGUUUUUUUCUGCAAUGGCCGCGUGUGAAAAGUUUUCUUUAAAUUUAAAUUUAAUUAGAGUAAAAGUGAAACAUUAACUAGUUUGGUGAUAAAUAUCAAUUAGUGUUUGGAAAAUUAAAUGAAAGUGAUUUAGUGAACAAUUUAGCAACAGGGCAGUGUUUUUUAUUAUAUUUUUUAUAUUUUUUUUCUGUUAAAUGUUAAAAAACUUUGUUUUUAACUUGUUUUUAAUAAAAUUUCGACGUUUCAGGCCCGAAAUGUGUGUUAAAUGGUCGUUUAAAGUGCAAUAAUUGUGGGUGCUCCCAAAAAUCUUUGCCGGCCGCCAUUUAAACACGCAUGUUCAGGCAUUAUUACGCAUUACUUCAUUCCACGCCAUUCCACUGCCAUGGAAGAACAGUUAGAUUUUGGAUGAAUGGCUUCAACAGUGAUGGCAGUCGACUGAUAGUGAUGCUCAUUUUGAAUAAUUUAUAAUUCAUUCUGCUUAUGGAUUAAUAAUUUUUUUAAAUAGUGAAAUAAAGUGAAAUAAUUAUGGAUGCUGAUGACGGCCAUUAUGGAAGAUGGCUGAUUCUAUUUGGAAUGGAGGAACAGUUAUGUUUUGGAUGUAGGAACUAAUCAGAGAUGAAUAGAGAUGCUCAGGCGGAAUAUUUAUUUCUUCAAUUUAUAAAUUAAUAAUAAAAAGGUGAAAAAAAGUGAAAUAUUUGUGGAUGCAGAUAACGGACAUUACUACGCAGUAGACAUCAUGGAAUUUGCAAUGGAGGAACAGUUAUAUUUUGGAAUAAUGAAACAAAAGCAAAUGGAAAUGGAAAUGGAAAUGGAUAUGGAGAAAUGGACUUGGAAUAUUCAUAAAUUUUUAAUGCACUAAUAAUUAUGGAAUAAUAUGCUCCUAAACCCAAGACUUGAGGUUCAACUCUGGCUUUAAAUAUCUUUAAAAAUAAAAAACCUAAAAAAUUGUAACAGAAACCUUAACUUUUCAAUAAAAACAUAAAGUUUA